rnacentral:rRNA from 1 species
GAACCAGUACCGUGAGGGAAAGGUGAAAAGCACCCCGGAAGGGGAGUGAAAUAGAACCUGAAACCGUGUGCUUACAAGUAGUCAGAGCCCGUUAAUGGGUGAUGGCGUGCCUUUUGUAGAAUGAACCGGCGAGUUACGAUUUGAUGCAAGGUUAAGCAGUAAAUGUGGAGCCGUAGCGAAAGCGAGUCUGAAUAGGGCGUUUAGUAUUUGGUCGUAGACCCGAAACCAGGUGAUCUACCCUUGGUCAGGUUGAAGUUCAGGUAACACUGAAUGGAGGACCGAACCGACUUACGUUGAAAAGUGAGCGGAUGAACUGAGGGUAGCGGAGAAAUUCCAAUCGAACCUGGAGAUAGCUGGUUCUCUCCGAAAUAGCUUUAGGGCUAGCCUCAAGUGAUGAUUAUUGGAGGUAGAGCACUGUUUGGACGAGGGGCCCCUCUCGGGUUACCGAAUUCAGACAAACUCCGAAUGCCAAUUAAUUUAACUUGGGAGUCAGAACAUGGGUGAUAAGGUCCGUGUUCGAAAGGGAAACAGCCCAGACCACCAGCUAAGGUCCCAAAAUAUAUGUUAAGUGGAAAAGGAUGUGGCGUUGCCCAGACAACUAGGAUGUUGGCUUAGAAGCAGCCAUCAUUUAAAGAGUGCGUAAUAGCUCACUAGUCGAGUGACACUGCGCCGAAAAUGUACCGGGGCUAAACAUAUUACCGAAGCUGUGGAUUGUCCUUUGGACAAUGGUAGGAGAGCGUUCUAAGGGCGUUGAAGCAUGAUCGUAAGGACAUGUGGAGCGCUUAGAAGUGAGAAUGCCGGUGUGAGUAGCGAAAGACGGGUGAGAAUCCCGUCCACCGAUUGACUAAGGUUUCCAGAGGAAGGCUCGUCCGCUCUGGGUUAGUCGGGUCCUAAGCUGAGGCCGACAGGCGUAGGCGAUGGAUAACAGGUUGAUAUUCCUGUACCACCUAUAAUCGUUUUAAUCGAUGGGGGGACGCAGUAGGAUAGGCGAAGCGUGCGAUUGGAUUGCACGUCUAAGCAGUAAGGCUGAGUAUUAGGCAAAUCCGGUACUCAUUAAGGCUGAGCUGUGAUGGGGAGAAGACAUUGUGUCUUCGAGUCGUUGAUUUCACACUGCCGAGA